AUUGAACGCUGGCGGCAUGCCUUACACAUGCAAGUCGAACGGCAGCACGGGUGCUUGCACCUGGUGGCGAGUGGCGAACGGGUGAGUAAUACAUCGGAACAUGUCCUGUAGUGGGGGAUAGCCCGGCGAAAGCCGGAUUAAUACCGCAUACGAUCUACGGAUGAAAGCGGGGGACCUUCGGGCCUCGCGCUAUAGGGUUGGCCGAUAGCUGAUUAGCUGGUUGGUGGGGUAAAGGCCUACCAAGGCGACGAUCAGUAGCUGGUCUGAGAGGACGACCAGCCACACUGGGACUGAGACACGGCCCAGACUCCUACGGGAGGCAGCAGUGGGGAAUUUUGGACAAUGGGCGAAAGCCUGAUCCAGCAAUGCCGCGUGUGUGAAGAAGGCCUUCGGGUUGUAAAGCACUUUUGUCCGGAAAGAAAUCCUUGGCUCUAAUACAGUCGGGGGAUGACGGUACCGGAAGAAUAAGCACCGGCUAACUACGUG
rnacentral:rRNA from 1 species